AUAUAAUGUAAAAUAAUGCUGUCCUAAGAUUACAGAAUCCUUGACGGCUCAACACUCCAGCCAACUCGACAAACGUUUGUGAGGGUGGCGAAUGAGCUAUUCCAAGACGGGACAUUUAACUGGGGCAGAGUGGUCGCGCUGUUCUACGUGGCUGUUCGACUUGUGAUCAAGGCAAGGAUGCUCACUAACUAACAAACUAUAUUUAAAAUAUACAAUUUAUAUAUUUUUGUUUUAUUUUUCUUUUUUACACGCGAGUGUGUGCGCGCGCCAGAGUCGGAUGGAACAAGGAGGACAAUCCCACUUUUGUACCAUAUUCUCUCUCUCUUUCUCUCUCUCUCUCUCAGAGUUCUUGACAGCUCAACACUGCAGCCAACUAGAGAAACGUUUGUGAAGGUGGUGAAUGAGCUUUUCAGGGAUGGGACAUUUUCCUGGGGUAGAGUGGUGUUGCUGUUCUACCUAGCUGGUCGACUUGUGAUCAAGGCAAGAACACUAAUUAACUCUGCCUUAAAGAAAGCCUUCCUUCCGUCUCCAAGACAGGAUUCUUUAUCCUUUUCAUGCCCAGUUACUCUCAGUGCGCAGUAGUGCUUGAAAGUUUGUAAACCCUGUAGAACUUUCGACAUGUCUGCAUAAAUACGACCUAAAACUUCAUCCUAUUUUCACAAAGUAGACCAAGAGAAUCCAUUUAAAUAAAUGAGACAAAA
ensembl:lncRNA